CGUUGUAAAAACCCUCAAAAGCCAGAAAAACAGCUACCGUCAGCCUCCCUCUCUCUCUCUCUCUCUCUCUCUCUCUCUCAUUCAUCAACAGCAGGUGAGAUGUCUAUCUCUUCCUUCGGAUUUUCUAGAAUUUUCUGUUUCUAGACAUUCAUCUCUUUCUCCUACAAUCAGUCUAUAAACCUCGGCUUUGUUUCUUCUCUCCAUAACUGGGUUUCCGUUGAUGCCUGUAUCGGAAUCCCGUUGCGAUGCGCAUAAAUUCCCAUGUGGGUUUCAGCAAUCAGGUCGUUUUCUUGUAGGAAGUCUAUAUUCCCUUGCAAAUUCUCAUGCUUUUAUUCCAUAUCCGCCGCAGUUCGAAUCGCCCCUCAUGUAUCGGACCCGAAUGGUGAGCAACGGCCCAAUUUGAUCGGGGGGACUUUAGAAGUGGUUGAUAUCUUGAACAGUUUGAGUAAUGACCCUAUUCUCGCCUUAUCUUUCUUCAAUCAUACAAAGAGCCGUGGGUUCCGGCAUGGUGUUGACACGUGCUCGGCAAUCAUACGGAUUCUGUGCAGUUCGGGUCUUGAGAAGAAGUUGCAUUCUCUGUUUGUGGAGCUUGUCUCAUCGAAAGAUGAAUUGGGUUUUGAAAUUUCGACCCUUUUUGACACUCUUGUGGAUAGAUGCAUCGGUCUGAGUAUGUCAGUUCAGGUGUUUGAUACAUUGUUGAAAGUCUAUGUUGAGGAGGGUAUGUUGGAUGAGGCUGUUGAUGCAUUUUUCCAAGUGGAUGGUCGUCGUUUUGUUCCCCACUUGUGGUCUUUCAAUUACCUCAUGAAUAGCUUGAUCAAUAGUGGUAAGGUAAAGAUGGCAUGGGCCAUUUAUCAUCAGAUGAAUAGAUUGGGAGUCGAUCGGAACGUUCACACUUUCACAAUCAGGAUUAAGGCAUUUUGCAAAGAAGGGAAUUUCGAAGAAGCAUUUGGUGUACUGAGAGAAAUGGAAGGAGCAGGUGUUGCACCUGAUGCUGUCACUUACGGGGUGAUGAUUAAAUGGAUGUGCUCACAUCGGAAACCACAUUCAGGCUAUGAACUCCUCAAGUCAGUUCGGAGUGUGGGUGGCCCGAUAGAUGCUUAUAGUUAUAAUGCCGUGCUUCAUAGGUUCUGUGAAGAGAUGAGAGUGCAGGAAGCUGAAGAUGUUUUAGAGGACAUGGAAAAGCAAGGGAUAGUUCCUGAUAUGUACAGUUAUAAAAGGCUUAUUGGAAUGCACUGUCAGAAGGGGAGUCUCUCAAGAGCUUUAUCUCUUCACGAUGAGAUGGUUUCGAAGGGAAUUAAAACGAACUACAUCAUUGUCAGCUUCUUACUUCAAAAAUUGUGUAAAAUAGGCAUGACUGUUGAAGCAUGGGAGUUCUUCCGUAGGUUCAAGGGCUCGGGUGUUUUUCUUGAUGGGAUUUCCUACAAUAUUGUGAUAGAUGCUCUCUGCAAGCUUGGUAACAUGAAAGAAGCAAUUGAAUUGCUUGAUGAAAUGAUGAGUAGACGGUUGAUACCUGACAUUAUUCAUUACACAAGUUUGAUCAAGGGGUAUUGCCGUCUAGGUGAAUUGGAUGAGGCUUGGAAGGUAUUUGCCAAUAUGUUGGAGAUUGGUCUCGUGCCUGACAUUGUUACGUACAAUGUACUAGCUAGUGGGUUUUGUAGGAAUGGGCUUGUGCAAGAGACAUUUGAGCUUCUAGAUUUUAUGGUGGACCAAGGUGUGAAGCCCAAUGCCGUUACAUACAGUACAAUUAUUGAGGGCCUAUGUAAAGGGGGCAAGCUGAAAGAGGCGGAAGAACUCUUUAAUACAUUAGAAGAAAGAGGGCUAGCUCAAUGUGUGGUUACUUUCAGUGCGAUGAUUGGUGGGUACUGUGAUGUGGGCCAUACAACAGAAGGGUUUGAGCUUUUUGUCAGGUUGUCCAAGCAAGGGAUUCUUGUGGAUGAGAUUGCAUGCUCUAAACUCAUGAGUGGGCUCUAUAAGGAGGGCGAUGUGGAGAAAGCUUCUGUUGUGUUCAAGACAAUGUUGGCCAUGGAUAUUACCCCGGGUGAGAUUGCUUAUAAUCAACUUAUAGCUGCUUUUUCUCGGGCAGGGGAGAUGAGAAAGGCUUGGUGUCUAUAUGAGAAUUUAGUGGAAAGAGGUUUGUCCCCAAGUGUUAUUACGUACACUACAUUGAUAAAUGGAUACUGCAAGGCAAAGCGCUUGCAAGAAGCUUGUGAUUUGUUCAACAAGAUGAAAGUGAAGGGGAUUCUACCUGAUGUAGUCACUUACACAGUUCUCCUCGACGGGUAUUUAAAAGACAGUUCACACCAAGGCAAUCUCUCUAUUGAGACGGGGAAGAGCGAAGGUGGAAUCAAUCCCAAGUGUUUAGAAUUGUUGACUGAGAUGACAGAAAUGGAGAUUGAGGCCGACAAGAUUUGCUACACUGUUUUGAUUGAUGGACAUUGCAAGAUAGACUAUAUUGAGGGUGCUGUUAAUCUCUUUGAUGAAAUGGUGGAUAGUGGACGGACACCAGAUGCUGUAACAUACACAGUCUUAGUGUCCUGGUAUUGUAGGAAAGGGGAUGUAGAUAAGGCUGUAAAUCUGGUUGAUGAAAUGAUAGUCAAAGGAAUAGAGCCUGAUACAAAGAUCUUCUCUGUCUUGGACAGUGGGAUUUCGAAGGCCAGAAAGGUGCAGCCGUCAGUAACACCUCAGAAGCUGUCAAUGGCACAUCAAAUGAAAGCUUAUUAGUUAUCUGAUUCACAGACUGCAGCAUUAAGGACAAAAAUUAUGCCAUAUGUGUGAAAGGAAGGGUUUUUUCGUGCAAGAAAGUUGGACCUUUGAUAUUUGCAGGCAUGGGAGUUGACAACGUACGCAUGCAUGAUGCUGCUGGCUUUGUUUGCUUUGUGAUGCACAACACUGUUAGCAAUCAGCAAAUAUGGGCUAGCGCAGUUGGGUAUUGAUACAAUGAUUCCGACCGCAAUUGCAUGGAGAAGCGCUGGUGGACAGUCGACAAUCCUGUGGAAAUCGGCCCUAUGGAAUCUUCAAAGCAAAGCUAGCUUGUGUGAUUAAAAAUAAAAAAUAAAAAAUCCUGGGCUGGUAGCAAGUUGGGGUAGUAAGUCUAAACUCUAAGAUGAUUGACAUUCCAAGGCAACUGAUCUACCACAACUGGGCUGAACCAUGUAUCAAGGCAAAUACAAGUCUUUCAAGAUCAAAGAAAGGUGGAAAAGGCCUAUAAGCUGAAUUUCGAUGGUUGCUGAUUGGGGGAUUCAUGCUAAGAAGGUGGUGUUGGUGGUACUCGUCAAGAACAGAUUCUCCGGCCCAGUAGGGUUGAGGGAUUCACACUUUUUGAAGAGAUAAUGUGAUAUAAUCUAAUGAGUCAAGGGCACUCAACCAUUGUGGUGAACUAGGCCAAGUCAAGACGAUGCCCAUAGAAGAUUCUGAAUCUGAUUGAGGCAGCAGCAGUUCUACACGAUUGCAUUGUAUUGAAAUAAGGUGAAAUAAGUUAGGGUGUGUUUGGUUUGCCAAUUUCAUCAUGAUCAUUUUAAGGUGUUUGUUGUGUGUUUUGUUUUCCUAUUUCAUCAUUAUCAUUUCAAGGUGUUUGUUUAAACAAGAAUUACAGCUUGUAAAUUGAUAGUUGAAUACAUCUGUGAAGGAAAUAGGUAAAAAAAAUAAAUAUAAUCAUUACAUUUUUUACAUUAUAAAUUAUUAUAUUCUUUAGCAAGCU